AGCUUUGUGCAAUGGCAGUAUUGUAGCCAAUGAGGUUUAUCUGAGGUGCGAUUAUUGCUAAUUGAAAACUUCUCCCAAUACCCCACCAAUACCCCACCAUAAUGACUUGAAAUAUAGUUGGCAUUGGCAAUUUUUGACAGUCUCUAUGGAGA
rnacentral:snRNA from 1 species